rnacentral:rRNA from 1 species
GACGAACGCUGGCGGCGUGCUUAACACAUGCAAGUCGAACGGAAAGGCCCUGCUUUUGUGGGGUGCUCGAGUGGCGAACGGGUGAGUAACACGUGAGUAACCUGCCCUUGACUUUGGGAUAACUUCAGGAAACUGGGGCUAAUACCGGAUAGGAGCUCCUGCUGCAUGGUGGGGGUUGGAAAGUUUCGGCGUUUGGGUAUGGACUCGCGGCUUAUCAGCGUGUUGGUGGGGUAGCUGCGUACCAAGGCUGCGACGGGGAGCCGGCCUGAGAGGGUGACCGGCCACACGGGAACGGAGACACGGGCCAGACUCCUACGGGAGGCAGCAGUAGGGAAUCUUCCGCAAUGGGCGAAAGGCUGACGGAGCGACGCCGCGUGAGUGAUGAAGGUCGUCGGAUCGGAAAACUCUGUUAUGAGGGAAGAACAAAUGUGCAAGUAACUAUGCACGUCUUGACGGUACCUAAUCAGAAAGCCACGGCUAACUACGUG